UACGUAGGGUGCAAGCGUUGUCCGGAACUAUUGGGCGUAAAGAGCUCGUAGGCGGUCUGUCGCGUCGGCUGUGAAAACCCGAGGCUCAACCUCGGGCCUGCAGUCGAUACGGGCAAACUAGAGUACUGCAGGGGAGACUGGAAUUCCUGGUGUAGCGGUGAAAUGCGCAGAUAUCAGGAGGAACACCGGUGGCGAAGGCGGGUCUCUGGGCAGUAACUGACGCUGAGGAGCGAAAGCGUGGGGAGCGAACAGG
rnacentral:rRNA from 1 species